rnacentral:snRNA from 1 species
AUUCCUUAAACUUAUGAUUAAGAAAAAUAACGAUCAGGGCAAUGCCCGAAUCCUCACUGCUAAUGUGAGACGAAUUUUUGAGCAGGUAAAGGUUGCCCCUGAGGUGACCUGCCUACUUUGCAGGAUGACUGGGAGCCAAGAUCUGCCCA